AUUGAACGCUGGCGGCAGGCCUAACACAUGCAAGUCGAACGAGUGGCGGACGGGUGAGUAAUGUAUGGGAAACUGCCUGAUGGAUGGGGAUAACUACUGGAAAAGGUAGCUACAACCGCAAACCAUAAAAUGUGCCGUGAUGGGGUUAGCUUGUUGGUGGGGUAACGGCUCACCAAGGCGACGAUCCCUAGCUGUUCUGAGAGGAUGACCAGCCACACUGGAACUGAGACACGGUCCAUACUCCUACGGGAGGCAGCAGUGGGGAAUAUUGCACAAUGGGCGCAAGCCUGAUGCAGCCAUGCCGCGUGUAUGAAGAAGGCCUUCGGGUUGUAAAGUACUUUCAGCGGGGAGGCGUUACCCGCAGAAGAAGCACCGGCUAACUCCGUGCCAGCCGCCGCGGUAAUAC
rnacentral:rRNA from 1 species